rnacentral:rRNA from 1 species
AUUGAACGCUGGCGGCAUGCCUAACACAUGCAAGUCGAACGGAGAUAGGGGCAACCUUAUUUCAGUGGCGGACGGGUGAGGAAUGCGUCGGAAUCUGCCCUAUGGGUGGGGGAUAACACAGGGAAACUUGUGCUAAUACCGCAUAAUGUCGAGAGACCAAAGCAGGGGACCGCAAGGCCUUGCGCGAUAGGAUGAGCCGACGCCCGAUUAGCUUGUUGGUAGGGUAAUGGCCUACCAAGGCGACGAUCGGUAGCUGGUCUGAGAGGAUGAUCAGCCACACUGGGACUGAGACACGGCCCAGACUCCUACGGGAGGCAGCAGUGGGGAAUAUUGGACAAUGGGCGCAAGCCUGAUCCAGCAAUGCCGCGUGUGUGAAGAAGGCCUGCGGGUUGUAAAGCACUUUCAGUGGGAAGAACAGGUUCGGGUCAAUACCCCGGAGCCCUGACGUUACCCACAGAAGAAGCACCGGCUAACUCCGUGCCAGCACG